rnacentral:tRNA from 1 species
GGGCCCAUAGCUCAGCUGGGGGAGCGCUUGCAUGGCAUGCAAGAGGUCGUCGGUUCGAUCCCGAUUGGGUCCACCA